rnacentral:rRNA from 1 species
AGAGUGGCGAACGGCUGAGUAACACGUGGGCAACCUGCCCUUUGCACUGGGAUAGCCUCGGGAAACCGAGGUUAAUACCGGAUACUCCAUAUUUGUCGCAUGGCGAAUAUGGGAAAGCUCCGGCGGCAAAGGAUGGGCCCGCGGCCUGUUAGCUAGUUGGUGGGGUAGUGGCCUACCAAGGCAAUGAUGGGUAGCCGGGUUGAGAGACCGACCGGCCAGAUUGGGACUGAGACACGGCCCAGACUCCUACGGGAGGCAGCAGUA